UUAAACAGGUAACGUUUGACCACGCAGCUGUUUCUAUUCAAUGUACAUACAGAGAUUGUAAUUUAAGCAUAGACCGUGAGUGUAUUGUGGAUAACAUAGAUUCUAAAAGACAUUUUGAGGAUUUUUAUGUGGUGUUUAUAGGCCCCGGCGAUGAUACUAGAGAGCAGGAUCCCCACGGUGAUGAACAGCUGGUUGACGGUGACGAGAGAGCCCCGGAUGUGAGAGGGAGCUGCUUCAGCAACGUAAACAGCACCAACAAUUAGACGUCCGAUCAACAGAAUCUCCUUCUUGUCCACAGGAGAGACCGCCAUUAGUAUGGCUCCGGCGGUGAAGAUGAAGCUAGCCAUCAUGAUGACCUUCUUUCUGCCAAUCUUGUCCACCAGGACGC